ACUCGAGUGGCGAACGGGUGAGUAACACGUGGGUGAUCUGCCCUGCACUUCGGGAUAAGCUUGGGAAACUGGGUCUAAUACCGGAUAGGAGCCAUCUUUAGUGUGGUGGUUGGAAAGUUUUUCGGUGUGGGAUGAGCUCGCGGCCUAUCAGCUUGUUGGUGGGGUAAUGGCCUACCAAGGCGGCGACGGGUAGCCGGCCUGAGAGGGUGUACGGCCACAUUGGGACUGAGAUACGGCCCAG
rnacentral:rRNA from 1 species